AUUGGUACUAAUUCCCCAUAACAUUCGAGAAGGCAUCUUCUUGGGUUAAAAACUCCGGUGGUUAAAGAUGGGCAUGCGUUGUAUUAGCUAGUUGGUGAGGUAACGGCUCACCAAGGCGACGAUACAUAGGGGGACUGAGAGGUUAACCCCCCACAUUGGUACUGAGACACGGACCAAACUCCUACGGGAGGCAGCAGUGAGGAAUAUUGGUCAAUGGACGCAAGUCUGAACCAGCCAUGCCGCGUGCAGGAAGACGGCUCUAUGAGUUGUAAACUGCUUUUGUACUAGGGUAAACGCUUCUACGUGUAGGAGCCUGAAAGUAUAGUACGAAUAAGGAUCGGCUAACUCCGUGCCAGCAGCCGCGGUAAUACGGAGGAUCCAAGCGUUAUCCGGAUUUAUUGGGUUUAAAGGGUGCGUAGGCGGUUUGAUAAGUUAGAGGUGAAUACCGGGGCUCAACUCCGGAGCUGCCUCUGAUACUGUUGAACUAGAGAGUAGUUGCGGUAGGCGGAAUGUAUGGUGUAGCGGUGAAAUGCUUAGAGAUCAU
rnacentral:rRNA from 1 species